GUAAGUAUAGUAUAAUUAUAAUACACUCCGCUUACACCGGAGAAAUCCAAAGUACUUACU
rnacentral:tRNA from 1 species